UGUCUUGGGAGGUGGGGGUAUAUAUACCUACAUGAGGCACUACACUUAAUGUUUUAUGUCUUGGGAGGUGGGGGUAUAUAUAUACCUACAUGAGGCACUACACUUAAUGUUUUAUGUCUUGGGAGGUGGGGUAUAUAUGUUUUACCUACAUUAGGCACUACACUUAAUGUUUUAUGUCUUGGGAGGUGGGGGUAUAUGUAUACAUGCAUUGAGGUACUACACUUAAUGUUUUAUGUCUUGGGAGGUGGGGGUAUAUAUAUACAUACAUUGAGGUACUGCAAAGAAAACAUCUUUAACAAUGUUGAGGAAAUCUAAUGCAAUGCAAACAUGAGUGAUUGUGAGUUUAGUUUUACGCCACACUCAGCAAUAUUCCAGCUAGUUGGCGGCAGUCUGUAAAUAAUCAAGUCUGGACCAGACAAUCCAGUGAUCAACAGCAUGAGCAUCUAUCUUCGCUAGAUACACUUUUACAACAUAGUAAUGGAAUACAAACACAAGGAUUUCAGUGAUACACUCAAACAGCACAGUAAUUGAUGUGAUGGGGUAUAGUCUUGUGUUGAUAGGUCACAGCGUUUCCCCGAUGUACAGUUGUCCACAGUUACACAGAAUCUGGUAGAUGCAUCCUCUUGGGUUGGGGCUUGCAGUGCUGGAUCCUCUGCUUUUGGCUCUCAGUAGAUUCUUGAGGGUCUUGCAACUAGAAAAUGUGACGUCACUCCCCAGGCUUUAUUCUUCAAGAGGUGGGUGAUCUUGUAGCUGAUAGGUCCAAUGUAAGGAAUUGUCACUCUGAUAGGGGAUGGUGCAGGCUAGGAGCUGGCCUCUGUGGUGUUGAGGGUCUUGUUGACAGUUUUAGUGCCCAGGCCAACAGGGUAUCCAUUGAGAGAUGUGAAUGUGUCCUGUAGAUGUUGUAGUUCAUGGCUGAGGGCGUCUGGGUGGCAGAUAGACUUUGCACAUCUCGUGAGGGUGGCUACAAUUGCUUGUUUGAUCUGGGGGUGAUGACAGGAGUUGUAGUGGAUGUACUGGUCGGUGUGUGUCGGCCUGGUUUAGAUGGAAGUUUUGGGGCGUCCAGGGAAACAUCUAGGAAGGGGAGUUGGUGGUCUGUUUCCAUGGUGAACUUGAAUUCUAGGAUGUUGGUCAUUGAGAUGUUGUAAUAGGUGGCCGGGGUGAUGGUCGAGGUGGUGAAGGUGUCGUCAACUUUGCGGUACCAGCAGAAAGGUUGGAAUGGAGCAGUUGAGAGGGCUGCUUCUUUAAAGGAUACUCCCUACCAUUCACCUGAUGAAAGAGCAAGCAUAUUAUGUCAAGACAUUCUAGUACUAAACGAAAAAUGACUCAUGACUGCAAUUUCCACUAAAUGAGUAAUGUUUAGACUAUAUACCCCUUAGGUAGCCACAGGUGGCCCAGUUGUCUAGGUGCAACAAUUCAGUGUCCAAGGUUGCAUCACAAAGUCGUACCAAAAAUUAAUGAGAACGGGUUCAAGACUGAAUGCCUUCUUAUCAUCCUCUGCCACAAAGUGGAACAGGGGAUGUAGAUAUGAGCUCUGUUCAUCCACCUUUCCAUCCAUCCAAUUUCAAUUGGGACAGGUUUUCUUGAAAACCACCAUUUAUACAAGGAAGGCAGACUGCCUACAUCAUUAAGGAACAAACAUGUUGAUCAGUUCUACAACCCAGUGUUAAGGUUACUAUUUUGGAGAGUUAUAGCUCUUGUCAUAUCUUUUAGGACAUGGUGCACUGUACAGUGGAACACUAUGGAUUCAAGGAUGACAUUUUGUAUACAUCAUUAAGAGAUAAAUUGUUGUGGCCCUUGUUUGGUCUUUUGAACAUGG